CCUACGGGAGGCAGCAGUGGGGAAUAUUGGACAAUGGGGGCAACCCUGAUCCAGCCAUGCCGCGUGUGUGAAGAAGGCCCUCGGGUUGUAAAGCACUUUCAGUGAGGAAGAACGCCUGGUGGUUAAUACCCAUCAGGAAAGACAUCACUCACAGAAGAAGCACCGGCUAACUCCGUGCCAGCAGCCGCGGUAAUACGGAGGGUGCGAGCGUUAAUCGGAAUUACUGGGCGUAAAGCGCGCGUAGGUGGCUUGAUAAGCCGGUUGUGAAAGCCCCGGGCUCAACCUGGGAACGGCAUCCGGAACUGUCAAGCUAGAGUGCAGGAGAGGAAGGUAGAAUUCCCGGUGUAGCGGUGAAAUGCGUAGAGAUCGGGAGGAAUACCAGUGGCGAAGGCGGCCUUCUGGACUGAAACUGACACUGAGGUGCGAAAGCGUGGGUAGCAAACAGGAUUAGAUACCCUUGUAGUC
rnacentral:rRNA from 1 species